rnacentral:lncRNA from 1 species
UGGGAAUGUUCCAGGUCGGUACCAUUGGAGUGCCACUUCCAGUUGGUGUAUUAGUAUAUCAUUAAUAACAAAAGUGUGCAUACUGACCUUUAUCUGAAGAUCACAGGGCAGUUCACAACAGGGGCAUAGCUUGGGGGGCUGUGGUCCUGGGCACACAAUUUUGAGGGGGCACAAACCAGGGAUCCCCAUGCAGCAAUCUCCGUCCUGCCCUACCUGCCAUCAGGGGUCUCUGGGCCCUGGAGCCUGGCGUGGCCUUGCCACUGCAUCCCCUUGCUGAACGGCCGCCUGGCCAGCACUCGCUCACUCCUCGCUCAGAUGGUGAGUGGCUGCAUGAGGAGGGAGAAGGGCAAGGGGCGAUCCCAGCAUGGCCCAGUCUGCUUUGGGGGGAUUCACCCGUCAAGGGCUGCGUUGGCCAACUCAGCUUUCCCCUGUGCGGGCAGGCAGGCAACACAGCAUGCCCCGGGCACCAGCAAAUGACGCUAUGCCACUGGUUCACAGCAUAAAAGGUGUAGACGACAGUGAAUGUCUAUCAGCCAGAACGAAUUAGCUUGCUCGGGUGGCGGAUGCUGACAGGAGGGCAGUGAAGUGAUGGAGGAGAGGUGGCAAGCUCUGUGCGCCACUUAGGCUGCCCGUCGCCCUUAAAGUUAGCCUGCUGAACUUGGUUGUGAUGGUGGGUUCCCCCCCGUCAUCAGUGUGGCUUCUAUACAUGUCAUGGAAGGCCACCAUCUUGUCAUUUGAGCAGCAAAAUGACUUCGGCCAAACCAAGCAGCCUUCCAGAGCAUGACAGGUAUACAGACUUUGACCAAGAGGCUGAUCCAGAAAGCCAGGGUAGCCCUGGGAUGGGCAAACAGGAACAUAUAUCAGUGGCAGAAACAGCACCAAGAACAUGAGUAGGCAAACUAAGGCCUAGGGGGACGCAUCCGGCCCAAUCACCUCUAAAUCCGGCACGCGGACAGUCCGGGAAUCAGCGUGUUUUACAUGAGUAGAAUGUGUCCUUUUAUUUAAAAUGCAUCUCUGGGUUAUUUGUGGGGCAUAGGAAUUCAUUCGUUUUUCUUCCAAAAUAUAGUCCGGCCCCCCACAAGGUCUGAGGGACGGUGGACCAGCCCCCUGCUGAAAAAGUUUGCUGACUCCUGAUCAAGAAGAAAGAAGAUGAAACUCAGCAAAGAGGACUCGUUGGCAACAUUAGAUACAAGCCUUUCCCUUGCAGAAGUUGAAGUAUUAGCAUUACAUCUGCUCAAUUACCAAAGCUAAUUAGCCCCCUCCGCCCUUAUUUCAAAGCUAUUUUUAUGUUUGUAUGAGAAAAGCACCUGGCCAAUUUGGUUGCCAAUAAAUAUCUCCACAGACUUUUCUGAGA